UACGUAGGGUGCAAGCGUUGUCCGGAAUUAUUGGGCGUAAAGAGCUCGUAGGCGGUCUGUCGCGUCUGCUGUGAAAACCUAGGGCUUAACCCUGAGCUUGCAGUGGGUACGGGCAGACUAGAGUGCGGUAGGGGAGACUGGAAUUCCUGGUGUAGCGGUGAAAUGCGCAGAUAUCAGGAGGAACACCGGUGGCGAAGGCGGGUCUCUGGGCCGUAACUGACGCUGAGGAGCGAAAGCAUGGGGAGCGAACAGG
rnacentral:rRNA from 1 species